rnacentral:rRNA from 1 species
AGAAACGUAGCCGCACGGAACCCUAUCCUCUCGCCCCCGCGCCGUCCCCCCGCGGCGGCUCGGGCGGCGCUCCCCUCCCUUGCCCCUUCCCACCGGCGCCGCCGACCGGAGCCGCAUGGGCAAAGCCCCUGCGGUGGCUGGUGGCGGGGGCUCCUUCCCCUCUAGUCGGAUCCGGGCGGCGCUGGGUGGCCUGCCCGUCGGAGGCGUCAGGCGCACACGGGGCCUGGCGGGGAUGCGGCGGUGGCUCCGGUCGGUGAUGUGCUGCGACACGAUGGCGCCCUGGCGGCGGCGGCCGGCAACGCGGCGGCUGCGUGUUUGUGGCCACAUUCUAGCCCAGAUCUGGGUGCCGGUGGGCUGCGGACGGCUCGGGAGGUCCUCCGUCGGUCUUCUCCAGCGCUGGUUGGGUCCCUUGGGGCGGAUGGUGACUGCGGAGCAGGGGCUCCGGGUGGUCGCGUGCUCGGUGGGGUCUUGCGGCUGAAAUCCGGGGGGCGGCGCGGGUGGGGGCAGUGGCUCGACUUGGUUGCUGCUUUGGCCGUGGGCGGCAGCGGUGUGGUCCAGGCGGGGCCGUCCUGCGGCGUGGUGGCUACACGGUAGAUCGGCGGCACCGACUGCAGCGAUGGUUGGCUUCUCCGUCGGUGUCGGCUUGUUUGCAGGUGGACUGUUUCGGCCAUCGAUCCCUCUUCUCGUCGUCUGGUCGCUACUUUCGUUGAAGGGCUGGCCCGCUCCCGGCUGCGGUCCAUCGCUUGUCUCGCGUCUGGUGCCGUAGGACUGAGCUCGUCUCGCGCCCGGUAGCAGGACUAGUUUGUCUCGUGCCCGGCGGCAGGACCGAGAUCGUCUCGCGCCCGGUGCUGCAAGAUGGAUCGACGGAGGCCAGUUUUGGCCGGCCUAUUGGGUCUCGGCGCUGGGGCCGCCCAGGGGUGUGAAAGGUGGGGCUUUUCCGCUCGUCUUUUUGGUUGGGGUAGCGGCGGGUCUCAGGUUAGGUGGUGACAUGGUCUUGGAUGUUGGGGUGGCGGCUCUGAUGGUGGUAGCUCGGUGCUCAUGAGCAGAGCCCGUGGCUCAGUGCUGCCCGGUGGCCAUGGCCGUGUGGGCGGCGUGGUAACCGGAGUGUGGCAUUCGGUGGCGGUGAGUGUUGGCCGGGGUGAAAACCUGUCCUAUCUUCGGAUGGACCGGCGGCGGCGAAGCUCUCUCCCUUCUUGAAGGCGUCGUCGUGGCUCUCAUUGCCUGUCAUGGUGCUUCAGGGGAAAAUCUGAUCCUCGGAUCGAGCGGCCGCGGUACUCCAGUGUCGUAACCUUCCUGAAUGCACCAUCUUGGAGCCCACGGUUCGUCGUAUGUGGUUUCAUCUCUUCGCAGUGGCGUGUCCACGGUUGAAGCCCCCGGUUGCUCUUGUAGUGCUAGGGAUUGUGUUGCUGCAUUCAGCGUCUAUGUAUCCUGUCUUGAGUGUGUGCGUGUGUUGUGUUGACGUGCGUUUAUACUGAGUUGUUGGUAAUCGUUGCUUUAUAUAUAAAGCGAAGAGAAAGCCUUUUUUUUUGUUAUAUUUAGUGCCCCGAAAUGUAUCAUUCGCGUGUGAGAU